CGGGGGGCUACACCAGUGAGGAAUAUUGCACAAUGGGGGGAACCCUGAUGCAGCAACGCCGCGUGGAGGAUGACGCAUUUCGGUGUGUAAACUCCUUUUAUAUGUCAAGAAAAUGACGGUAGCAUAUGAAUAAGCACCGGCUAACUCCGUGCCAGCAGCCGCGGUAAUACGGAGGGUGCAAGCGUUACUCGGAAUCACUGGGCGUAAAGGACGCGUAGGCGGGUUGGAAAGUCAGGUGUGAAAUCCUACAGCUUAACUGUAGAACUGCACUUGAAACUUCUAAUCUAGAGUAUGGGAGGGGGAGAUGGAAUUAGUGGUGUAGGGGUAAAAUCCGUAGAUAUCACUAGGAAUACCUAAAGCGAAGGCGAUCUCCUGGAACAUUACUGACGCUAAGGCGUGAAAGCGUGGGGAGCAAACAGGAUUAGAUACCCCGGUAGUC
rnacentral:rRNA from 1 species